rnacentral:rRNA from 1 species
UAAGACUGCUCACUAUCUUCCGUUGUUGGUGGGGUAAUGGCCUACCAAGGCGACGAUGGUUAGCGGGCGUGAGAGCGUGUUUCGUCUCACUGGGACUGAGAUACUGCCCAGACACCUACGGGUGGCUGCAGUCGAGAAUCUUUGGCAAUGCCUGCAAGCCUGACCAAGCGAUGCCGCGUGCGGGAUUAAGGCCUUCGGGUUGUAAACCGCUGUCAGAGGGGAAUUUAUCCGACUGAUGGUCAGAGGACCGACGGGCUAAGUUCGUGCCAGCAGCCGCGGUAAGACGAACCGUCCGAAUUUUAUUCGGAAUUACUGGGCUUAAAGGGUGCGUAGGCGGCCCUACAAGUCAGGUGUGAAAUCCCACGGCUCAACCGUGGAACUGCGCUUGAAACUGUACCGCUUGGUUCAGAUAGGGGUGAGCGGAACUGAUGGUGGAGCGGUGAUUUGCGUUGAUAUCAUCAGGAACACCGGCCCGCGGCGGCUCACUGGGUCUCUACUGACGCUGAGGUUUGAAAGCUAGGGGAGCGAACGGGAUUAGAUAGGCCGGUAGUCCUCCCUGUGAACGAUGAGCACUGGAUCGAGGGGACUCCCACAUCUUCUCGGUUUUAGCGAAAGUGUUAAGUGCUCCGCCUGGGGAGUACCGUCGCAAGGCUGAAACUCAAAGAAAUUGACGGGGGCUCACACAGGCGGUGGAGGAUGU